UACGUAGGGAGCAAGCGUUGUUCGGAUUUACUGGGCGUAAAGGGCGCGUAGGCGGCAGAUCAAGUCAGCUGUGAAAUCUCCGAGCUUAACUCGGAACUGUCAGCUGAUGCUGUUUUGCUAGAGUGCGGAAGGGGCAAUCGGAAUUCUUGGUGUAGCGGUGAAAUGCGUAGAUAUCAAGAGGAACACCUGAGGUGAAGACGGGUUGCUGGGCUGACACUGACGCUGAUGCGCGAAAGCCAGGGGAGCAAACGGG
rnacentral:rRNA from 1 species